AUUGAACGCUGGCGGCAGGCCUAACACAUGCAAGUCGAACGGUAACAGGGAUCAGCUUGCUGAUUCGCUGACGAGUGGCGGACGGGUGAGUAAUGUCUGGGAAACUGCCUGAUGGAGGGGGAUAACUACUGGAAACGGUAGCUAAUACCGCAUAACGUCGCAAGACCAAAGAGGGGGACCUUCGGGCCUCUUGCCAUCGGAUGUGCCCAGAUGGGAUUAGCUAGUAGGUGGGGUAACGGCUCACCUAGGCGACGAUCCCUAGCUGGUCUGAGAGGAUGACCAGCCAGACUGGAACUGAGACACGGUCCAGACUCCUACGGGAGGCAGCAGUGGGGAAUAUUGCACAAUGGGCGCAAGCCUGAUGCAGCCAUGCCGCGUGUAUGAAGAAGGCCUUCGGGUUGUAAAGUACUUUCAGCGGGGAGGAAGGGAGUAAAGUUAAUACCUUUGCUCAUUGACGUUACCCGCAGAAGAAGCACCGGCUAACUCCGUG
rnacentral:rRNA from 1 species